CCUAGACAAUGAAUACGUGCUCUUUUAUUGCACUCCUCUCUCUGGUAGAUGUUUGAGUUUUCCGUAAUUAAAAGCUUUGAAAUAGCAAGGCUAACAUAAAUAUAAAUUUUCAGAAAUGCAAAGACUUAUAUUUACAAUGCCCACUGAUUGUUAUUUAAAAUAGUCAAAAAAGUAAACAAUACAAUGUCAAACAAUGAUGUUGAAACAAAUUGCACUUACACAGCAGAGUAGUGUGAAGCUGUAAAAAUCACAUUUUCACGUACAAUUGAAUGCCAUGGUGGCAUAUUCAUACACAUUAUGUUCAACACAAAAAAGUUUUUUUAACUUGAUCCCAAUUCCACGAGAGUAUGCAUAUUUGCAUUAAAAAUACUGAAAGAAAUGCAACAAAAUGUUAACAGCAUUUACCCCUGGGUAAUGAGAUUAUGAUUGGAUUUUAUGUCUACUUCUCCCUUUUGGUUAUGUCCACAUUGGAAAAAAUUUCAUGAUAAAUCACACAUGACAUGUUAUCAAUCAAUUAGACAAGAGAGGCCUGGAGGAAGAGAGGCAGGAAGCAGACACAGACAGCAGGAAGUGUGACUAAACUUACGUAUGCAGGAGGCUCACUGCCAGCUUUAUAGAAGCAAGACCACAGAGCCACCCAGCUCCAGGGACACUGCAAAGGGCCUGACAGGUGGCAGGAAGAACAAGAGCCAUUUCACCAGCAGGAAGGGCCCCAACAUGCAGUCUGGACUGCCUGCUCUCUUGUGCACAGUGGUGGCCUUCAUCCUCUUCGGUUCCAGCAAUACACAGAGUGUCACUCAAACUCCAGGUCCAGUGAAUAAACAAGAGGGAGAAUCUGUGAGCUUGCACUGUAGUUUCACACUCAGCUAUACUUACUAUGUGAUGAGCUGGUUUCGACAGCUUUCCAAUGGAAAGAUGACUGAAAUCAUUUAUCUUUAUUCUGAUAGCACAAACACCAAGAAAGGACGAUAUUCUGUAUCUCAUCAGAAAGGAAACAAAGCCCUAAGUCUCACCAUCACAGGCUUGAUGCCUACAGACUCAGGUGUCUAUUUCUGUGCUGUUGGAGAAGAUCCACGGUGAGAAGAGUGACGGGGAGAGCCUUACAAAAACCCCCUGGGCUCAGCAUGAAACAGCCACCUGCUCCAGGAGCUUAGGAGAAAA